rnacentral:rRNA from 1 species
GGGUUGUGAGGUUAAGCGAACAAGCGUACACGGUGGAUGCCCUGGCAGUCAGAGGCGAUGAAGGACGUGCUAAUCUGCGAAAAGCGCCGGUAAGGUGAUAUGAACCGUUAUAACCGGCGAUGUCCGAAUGGGGAAACCCGGUGCACUUCGGUGCAUCAUCGUUAGCUGAAUACAUAGGCUAACGAGGCGAACCGGGGGAACUGAAACAUCUAAGUACCCCGAGGAAAAGAAAUCAACCGAGAUUCCCCCAGUAGCGGCGAGCGAACGGGGAACAGCCCAGAGCCUGAAUCAGCUUGUGUGUCAGUGGAACGGUCUGGAAAGGCCGGCGAUACAGGGUGACAGCCCCGUACACGAAGGCACACAGGCUGUGAGCUCGAUGAGUAGGGCGGGACACGUGAUAUCCUGUCUGAAGAUGGGGGGACCAUCCUCCAAGGCUAAAUACUCCUGACUGACCGAUAGUGAACCAGUACCGUGAGGGAAAGGCGAAAAGAACCCCGGCGAGGGGAGUGAAACAGAACCUGAAACCGUGUACGUACAAGCAGUGGGAGCCUUCGUAAGAGGGUGACUGCGUACCUUUUGUAUAAUGGGUCAGCGACUUAUAUUCUGUAGCAAGGUUAACCGCAUAGGGGAGCCGAAGGGAAACCGAGUCUUAAUUGGGCGUUAAGUUGCAGGGUAUAGACCCGAAACCCGGUGAUCUAGCCAUGGGCAGGUUGAAGGUUGGGUAACACUAACUGGAGGACCGAACCGACUAAUGUUGAAAAAUUAGCGGAUGACCUGUGGCUGGGGGUGAAAGGCCAAUCAAACCGGGAGAUAGCUGGUUCUCCCCGAAAGCUAUUUAGGUAGCGCCUCGUGAACUCAUCUCCGGGGGUAGAGCACUGUUUCGGCUAGGGGGCCAUCCCGGCUUACCAACCCGAUGCAAACUGCGAAUACCGGAGAAUGUUAUCACGGGAGACACACGGCGGGUGCUAACGUCCGUCGUGAAGAGGGAAACAACCCAGACCGCCAGCUAAGGUCCCAAAGUCAUGGUUAAGUGGGAAACGAUGUGGGAAGGCCCAGACAGCCAGGAUGUUGGCUUAGAAGCAGCCAUCAUUUAAAGAAAGCGUAAUAGCUCACUGGUCGAGUCGGCCUGCGCGGAAGAUGUAACGGGGCUAAACCAUGCACCGAAGCUGCGGCAGCGACGCUUAUGCGUUGUUGGGUAGGGGAGCGUUCUGUAAGCCUGUGAAGGUGUGCUGUGAGGCAUGCUGGAGGUAUCAGAAGUGCGAAUGCUGACAUAAGUAACGAUAAAGCGGGUGAAAAGCCCGCUCGCCGGAAGACCAAGGGUUCCUGUCCAACGUUAAUCGGGGCAGGGUGAGUCGACCCCUAAGGCGAGGCCGAAAGGCGUAGUCGAUGGGAAACAGGUUAAUAUUCCUGUACUUGGUGUUACUGCGAAGGGGGGACGGAGAAGGCUAUGUCGGCCGGGCGACGGUUGUCCCGGUUUAAGCGUGUAGGCUGACUUUCCAGGCAAAUCCGGAAAGUUAAGGCUGAGGCGUGAUGACGAGGCACUACGGUGCUGAAGUGACAAAUGCCCUGCUUCCAGGAAAAGCCUCUAAGCAUCAGGUAACAUCAAAUCGUACCCCAAACCGACACAGGUGGUCAGGUAGAGAAUACCAAGGCGCUUGAGAGAACUCGGGUGAAGGAACUAGGCAAAAUGGUGCCGUAACUUCGGGAGAAGGCACGCUGACAUGUAGGUGAAGCCCCUGCGGGUGGAGCUGAAGUCAGUCGAAGAUACCAGCUGGCUGCAACUGUUUAUUAAAAACACAGCACUGUGCAAACACGAAAGUGGACGUAUACGGUGUGACGCCUGCCCGGUGCCGGAAGGUUAAUUGAUGGGGUUAUCGCAAGAGAAGCUCCUGAUCGAAGCCCCGGUAAACGGCGGCCGUAACUAUAACGGUCCUAAGGUAGCGAAAUUCCUUGUCGGGUAAGUUCCGACCUGCACGAAUGGCGUAAUGAUGGCCAGGCUGUCUCCACCCGAGACUCAGUGAAAUUGAACUCGCUGUGAAGAUGCAGUGUACCCGCGGCAAGACGGAAAGACCCCGUGAACCUUUACUACAGCUUGACACUGAACAUUGAGCCUUGAUGUGUAGGAUAGGUGGGAGGCUUUGAAGCGUGGACGCCAGUCUGCGUGGAGCCGACCUUGAAAUACCACCCUUUAAUGUUUGAUGUUCUAACCUGGCGCCGUGAUCCGGCGUGGGGACAGUGUCUGGUGGGUAGUUUGACUGGGGCGGUCUCCUCCCAAAGUGUAACGGAGGAGCACGAAGGUCAGCUAAUCCUGGUCGGACAUCAGGAGGUUAGUGCAAUGGCAUAAGCUGGCUUGACUGCGAGAGUGACGGCUCGAGCAGGUGCGAAAGCAGGUCAUAGUGAUCCGGUGGUUCUGUAUGGAAGGGCCAUCGCUCAACGGAUAAAAGGUACUCCGGGGAUAACAGGCUGAUACCGCCCAAGAGUUCAUAUCGACGGCGGUGUUUGGCACCUCGAUGUCGGCUCAUCACAUCCUGGGGCUGAAGUAGGUCCCAAGGGUAUGGCUGUUCGCCAUUUAAAGUGGUACGCGAGCUGGGUUUAGAACGUCGUGAGACAGUUCGGUCCCUAUCUGCCGUGGGCGCUGGAGAAUUGAGGGGGGCUGCUCCCAGUACGAGAGGACCGGAGUGGACGCAUCACUGGUGUUCGGGUUGUCAUGCCAAUGGCACUGCCCGGUAGCUAAAUGCGGAAGAGAUAAGUGCUGAAAGCAUCUAAGCACGAAACUUGCCCCGAGAUGAGUUCUCCCUGAGACUAUAAGUCUCCUGAAGGAACGUUGAAGACGACGACGUUGAUAGGCCGGGUGUGUAAGCGCAGCGAUGCGUUGAGCUAACCGGUACUAAUGAACCGUGAGGCUUAACCUUACAACGCCAAAGAAGU